rnacentral:rRNA from 1 species
GACGAACGCUGGCGGCGUGCCUAAUACAUGCAAGUCGAGCGAAGCGGCGGAUGGGUGAGUAACGCGUGGGUAACCUGCCCUUAAGUCUGGGAUACCAUUUGGAAACAGAUGCCAAUACAGGAUACUAAAGGAUGGACCUGCGAUGCAUUAGCCAGUUGGUAAGGUACCGGCUUACCAAGGCGAUGAUGCAUAGCCGAGUUGAGAGACUGAUCGGCCACACUGGAACUGAGACACGGUCCAGACUCCUACGGGAGGCAGCAGUGGGGAAUAUUGCACAAUGGGCGCAAGCCUGAUGCAGCCAUGCCGCGUGUAUGAAGAAGGCCUUCGGGUUGUAAAGUACUUUCAGCGAGGAGGCGUUACUCGCAGAAGAAGCACCGGCUAACUCCGUGCCAGCAGCCGCGGUAAUUC